rnacentral:rRNA from 1 species
UACGAAGGGGGCUAGCGUUGCUCGGAAUGACUGGGCGUAAAGGGCGCGUAGGCGGAUGGCACAGUCAGAUGUGAAAUUCCCGGGCUUAACCUGGGGGCUGCAUUUGAUACGUGUUGUCUUGAGUUCGGAAGAGGGUCGUGGAAUUCCCGGUGUAGCGGUGAAAUGCGCAGAUAUCGGGAGGAACACCAAUGGCGAAGGCAGCUCGCUGGGACGUGACUGACGCUGAGACGCGAAAGCGUGGGGAGCAAACAGGG